rnacentral:rRNA from 1 species
GGGACACGUGGUAUCCUGUCUGAAUAUGGGGGGACCAUCCUCCAAGGCUAAAUACUCCUGACUGACCGAUAGUGAACCAGUACCGUGAGGGAAAGGCGAAAAGAACCCCGGCGAGGGGAGUGAAAAAGAACCUGAAACCGUGUACGUACAAGCAGUGGGAGCACGCUUAGGCGUGUGACUGCGUACCUUUUGUAUAAUGGGUCAGCGACUUAUAUUCUGUAGCAAGGUUAACCGAAUAGGGGAGCCGAAGGGAAACCGAGUCUUAACUGGGCGUUAAGUUGCAGGGUAUAGACCCGAAACCCGGUGAUCUAGCCAUGGGCAGGUUGAAGGUUGGGUAACACUAACUGGAGGACCGAACCGACUAAUGUUGAAAAAUUAGCGGAUGACUUGUGGCUGGGGGUGAAAGGCCAAUCAAACCGGGAGAUAGCUGGUUCUCCCCGAAAGCUAUUUAGGUAGCGCCUCGUGAAUUCAUCUCCGGGGGUAGAGCACUGUUUCGGCAAGGGGGUCAUCCCGACUUACCAACCCGAUGCAAACUGCGAAUACCGGAGAAUGUUAUCACGGGAGACACACGGCGGGUGCUAACGUCCGUCGUGAAGAGGGAAACAACCCAGACCGCCAGCUAAGGUCCCAAAGUCAUGGUUAAGUGGGAAACGAUGUGGGAAGGCCCAGACAGCCAGGAUGUUGGCUUAGAAGCAGCCAUCAUUUAAAGAAAGCGUAAUAGCUCACUGGUCGAGUCGGCCUGCGCGGAAGAUGUAACGGGGCUAAACCAUGCACCGAAGCUGCGGCAGCGACGCUUAUGCGUUGUUGGGUAGGGGAGCGUUCUGUAA